rnacentral:rRNA from 1 species
UUCCGCGAGGAGCCGGCCAACGGCGGUUGCCUUCGGCUCGGCGGGCGUCUUGGGGAGGUGGCUCCGCGCUUGCGCGGAGACCGUACAGCCCAGGCGCGCGGCAGUUCGGGGGCGACCGAGGAGAGCGCUUGCGGUCCUUCGCACGCUGCGGCGCGGGCCGACUCCGGUCGGCUGCGGCCCCGCGUCGGGGCGGCUCCCGCUCGGGUGCACUGCGUGCAGUGCCCUGGGACGGCUGAGCUUUCCCGGUCGUGGAGGCACGACAACUCGCGCCGAGGUCGUUGGCGUCCGAAUGGCUGCAUCCGACCCGUCUUGAAACACGGACCAAGGAGUGCAACAUGCGCGCGAGUCUUUGGGUGGCAAACCCCUCGGCGCAGUGAAAGCGUAAGCGGGCUYGUCCCGCCGUGGCGAGAGCCUCGGACCUCCGGGUCGGGGGCGCAUCGUCGACCGAUCCCGUUCCACGCCGUGGUGGGAUUUGAGUGAGAGCGUGCCUGUUGCGACCCGAAAGAUGGUGAACUAUGCCUGAAUAGGGCGAAGCCAGGGGAAACCCUGGUGGAAGCCCGCAGCGAUUCUGACGUGCAAAUCGAUCGUCAAAUUUGGGUAUAGGGGCGAAAGACUAAUCGAACC